rnacentral:piRNA from 1 species
UCUUUUGUCCGGAUAUUAACU